rnacentral:snoRNA from 1 species
CCAUCGAUGAAGAAAUUGAUCAUCCUUGCUCUGCGAGUGGGGAGGGCGAAGCUUGCGGACGCGUCGGUCACCGGUUAUCGACGUGUAUUCCAAUAGCGAGAAGCCGCCUCCGAUGAACAUUAUGGCCUCUGAGAUGG